rnacentral:lncRNA from 1 species
UGUUUUUGGGUUUUUUUCCUGUGAUGUGUACCUCUGUCUUUGAAGAAAGAGAGGAGGGGGACUAGUUUAGGAGUCUCAUUUUUGAGAUUCAUUCAUUCAUAAGGGUGUAUGAUAAGAAAAAGUAGUCUUACUUGUUGCAGAAAGAAAAGUAGCAUUUUACAAACUGCUUUGAUUCAUUAAGAUGAAAACUUCACACAGGAAGUGUAUGUCACGUAUAUUUCUUAGUCUAUUAUUUAUGAGUUUUAUGGGCCUCCAUGUCUUUGUCUGUGUGUGGUUUCUGAGCUAGGAGCGCUUGGAAUUUAAGUCCUACUCAUUAAUAUACUAUCAAAAAAAGUGGCUCUCCUUCUCUUAUGAGAGAUAGGCGCUCUCUCUACGGCCAAUUCUCUUUAACAAAAAAGGCAUUCCCUGAUCGUAGACCAUCCUUUAUCCUUUCUUAUCUUGACUUUCUAAGUGAAGUCCUUUCAUGCGCGAGGAACUGUCUGAAAGUGAAAGGCAUCAUUGGUAGGCGCAGUGAAUCGGCAAUCGGGCAAUUCGUUAAACGAUAUCCGUAUAAUGAAUACCUUUUCUAAAGCCAUACCGCGAAUCUCUUGUCUUCUGGUAAAGGGUCGGAAUCAGUCCACAAAUGACUUACUUCUUCAAAUUAGAUCCCUUCCAUCGGUCGCAUCUGCCCUGUCUCAAUCGGUCGAGCUGUAUCGGUCAACUAUAGGAAACUGACCAAUAGCUCUUCUUUCUUUUGGUAAAGGUUAACGGUCCUGUUCAAGCAUUGGUGCAUAACGGGAGGCUAGCUCAGUAUAUUACCUUUCCUGUAGUUCUUUA